GAUGAAGAACGCAGCGAAAUGCGAUACGUAAUGUGAAUUGCAGAAUUCAGUGAAUCAUCGAAUCUUUGAACGCAUAUUGCGCUCUUUGGUAUUCCGAAGAGCAUGCUUGUUUGAGUAUCAGUAAACACCUCAAAGCUUUUGGAUUUUUUAAUCGAAAAGCUUUGGACUUGAGCAAUCCCAACACCAAUCUUUUUGAGAUCGGUGGCGGGUUGCUUGAAAUGCAGGUGCAGCUGGACAUUCUCCUGAGUUAAAAGCAUAUUCAUUUAGUCCCGUCAAACGGAUUAUUACUUUUGCUGCAGCUAACAUAAAGGGAGUUUGACCGUAUUGGCUGACUGAUGCAGGAUUUCACAAGGGUCGGCAACGAUUCUUGUUAAACUCGAUCUCAAAUCAAGUAAGACUACCCGCUGAACUUAAGCAUAUCAAUAAGCGGAGGA
rnacentral:misc_RNA from 1 species